ACAAGAACCAGCAGGAAGACUCUGAGGGAACUCCAGAAGCAGAGCCAUUUCAAUCGGCUUUUCUGCAAGUGUUUGCUUUAUUUUUGCAUUGGAUUCACAAAGCAGAUUGUAUCCAUAAAAUUCAUAAAUCCUGUCCACAGAGACUUUCACUGUGAACA